rnacentral:tRNA from 1 species
GGUUAUAGCUCAGGGGUGGAGCGCUUGCCUCACAUGUAAGAGACACUGGGUUCGAUUCUCAGCACCA